rnacentral:sRNA from 1 species
CUUUAGCCCUGAUGGAAGCGGCAUCCCACGCAUUUUCUGCGUGGAAUAUAGCGGACAGCAGGAACUAUA